rnacentral:rRNA from 1 species
AUUGAACGCUGGCGGCAUGCCUUACACAUGCAAGUCGAACGGUAACAGGUCUUCGGAUGCUGACGAGUGGCGAACGGGUGAGUAAUACAUCGGAACGUGCCCGAUCGUGGGGGAUAACGAGGCGAAAGCUUUGCUAAUACCGCAUACGAUCUACGGAUGAAAGCGGGGGAUCUUCGGACCUCGCGCGGACGGAGCGGCCGAUGGCAGAUUAGGUAGUUGGUGGGAUAAAAGCUUACCAAGCCGACGAUCUGGAGCUGGUCUGAGAGGAUGAUCAGCCACACUGGGACUGAGACACGGCCCAGACUCCUACGGGAGGCAGCAGUGGGGAAUUUUGGACAAUGGGCGAAAGCCUGAUCCAGCCAUGCCGCGUGCAGGAUGAAGGCCUUCGGGUUGUAAACUGCUUUUGUACGGAACGAAAAGCCUCUUUCUAAUAAAGAGGGGUCAUGACGGUACCGUAAGAAUAAGCACCGGCUAACUACGUG